GUGCAGCAGUCGCGAAACCUCCGCAAUACACGAAAGUGUGACGGGGCCAUCCCGAGUGCCGUCCGCUGAGGACGGCUUUUCCCCAGUGUACACAGCUGGGGGAAUAAGGAGAGGGCAAGCCUGGUGUCAGCCGCCGCGGUAAUACCAGCUCUCCGAGUGGUGGGGACGCUUAUUGGGCCUAAAGCAUCCGUAGCCGGCUGGGCAAGUCCUCCGUUAAAUCCAACGAUUCAAUCGUUGGGCUGCGGGGGAUACUGUCCAGCUUGGGGGCGGGAGAGGCCGACGGUAUUCCCGGGGUAGGGGUGAAAUCCUAUAAUCCCGGGAGGACCACCAGCGGCGAAGGCUGUCGGCUAGAACGCGCCCGACGGUGAGGGAUGAAAGCUGGGGGAGCGAACCGGAUUAGAUACCCCCGUAGU
rnacentral:rRNA from 1 species